CAGAGAUUCCCCUAGUAACGGCGAGCGAACCGGGGGAUGAGCCCAUCGCCUAAUCCGCCGCCAAGCUGGCGGUCCGGAGGUUUGGCGUAUAGGAGAGACGCUUCCGGGCACCGACUCCGGUGCAAGUCCCCCUGACUGGGGCUCUUACCCCGAGAGGGUGCAAGGCCCGUAGCGGCCGGAAGGCGGUCCCGGAUGUCCUCUCCUGGGAGUCGGGUUGCUUGAGAGUGCAGCCCUAAUCAGGUGGUAAACUCCAUCUAAGGCUAAAUACGACCUGGAGACCGAUAGCGAACAAGUACCGUGAGGGAAAGUUGAAAAGGACUUUGAAGAGAGAGUUCAAGAGUACGUGAAACCGUUCGGAGGUAAACGAGUGGGCCCUCGAAGUGCGAAGGCGGGGGGACUCAGCCGAACGUCGCGAGCCUGCCGGCAAGUCCGCGCUUCCCAACCAGGACGCGGCUGGCCGGCGCAAAGGUUCCGGCGGGCGGCGCAUUUCUUCCCGUCCUCCGACGCUGCGACCGGUCGGGUGCGCCACGAGCAGUCGGCCUUACUCGCGGGAGCCGGAAGGUAGCCGGGUCAGCGCCUCGGCGCUGUCCCCGGUGAUUGUCCGUCCCGCAAUCGAGUAGCCGUUCACCCGACCGCAGGACGUGGCCCUCAGGGGCCUCGCCGCGCCCUCCUCCCCUUCGGGGGGGGAUCGGAGCUCGCCUCGGAAGGGAGGCCGUCGCACAUCCCUUGUCACACUCCUGGGUGUGCCUGGGGCGGCGGUCCCCGCUGGCCGGGGCGAUUUCGAGCGGGCGCAGGCGGUCCGGCAGCGAGUNNNNNNNNNNACUCCUUGACCCCGUCCCUGAACACGGACCAAGGAGUUUAACAUGCACGCAAGUCACGGGGUCUUGAACAGGCCCAGGGGCGCAAUGAAAGUGAAGGGCGACAUUUCGUCGUCCGCGUUGGGAUCCGUCGGCCUCGGUCGGCGGCGCACCAACGGCUCGUCCAGGCCGCCACGUCGGCCGGGCGAAGCUAGAGCGUGCAUGUUGAGACCCGAAAGAUGGUGAACUAUGGCUGGGCAGGACGAAGCCAGAGGAAACUCUGGUGGAGGUCCGCAGCGGUUCUGACGUGCAAAUCGAUCGUCAGACCUGGCUAUAGGGGCGAAAGACUAAUCGAACCAUCUAGUAGCUGGUUCCCUCCGAAGUUUCCCUCAGGAUAGCUGGCGCUCGGGAGGAAGCAGUCUCAUCCGGUAAAGCGAAUGAUUAGAGGCCUUGGGGCCGAAAAGACCUCAACCUAUUCUCAAACUUUCAAUGGGUGAGAAGUCCGGUUUGCCCGAUUGAAGCCCGGACCUUCUCGGAUGCGAGUGCCCAGUGGGCCACUUUUGGUAAGCAGAAYKGGCNNGCUGUGGRAUGAACCAAACGACGGGUUAAGGGGCCCGAUGCAGGACGCUCAUGAGAACCCAUGAAAGGUGUUGGUUGCUAUAGACAGCAGGACGGUGGCCAUGGAAGUCGGAAUCCGCUAAGGAGUGUGUAACAACUCACCUGCCGAAGCAACUAGCCCUGAAAAUGGAUGGCGCUUCAGCGUCGACCCCAUACCCGUCCGCCGCGGCGGAGAUGCGAUCGCAUUAUGCCGCGGUGAGUAGGAGGGCGCGGGGGCGCGCGUGGAAGGUGCCGGGCGUAAGCCCGCCUGGAGCCGCCCCCGGUGCAGAUCUUGGUGGUAGUAGCAAAUACUCAAGUGAGAACCUUGAGGACUGAGGUGGAGAAGGGUUCCAUGUGAACAGCAGUUGAACAUGGGUCAGUCGGUCCUAAGGGAUGUCCGAAAGGAUUUCCGAAGGGGGGACGUUCUCACUUGUUCCCCCCCAUGACCGAAAGGGAAUCGGGUUAAUAUUCCCGAACCCGGACACGGAGAUCGGUCCCUUCGGGGACACGUGCGGUAACGCAAACGACCUCGGAGACGUCGACGGGGGGUCCCGGAAAGAGUUGUCUUUUCUUUGUAAGGGGUUCGGCUCCCUGGAAUCGGCUCGCCCGGAGAUAGGGGAUGCUGGAACCCGUAAAGCACCGCGCCUCUGUGUGGUGUCCGGGAGCGCUCCCGUCGGCCCUUGAAAAUCCGAGGCCGAGAGUUGGUUGGAUUUUCGUGCCGGACCCGUACCCCAUA
rnacentral:rRNA from 1 species